ACGAGAUCCUCCUCCGGCGACUGGUCUCCGCUGGAGGUCCUCUGGCGGCGGCGUGGUUUCCGGCGUUCGGCGGCGAGCGCGACAUGACUUCUAAUGUUCUGUCAAACUGUAUGACAAUGAGUUUAUGGCGACGGUUGCUCAUCUGUUGGGUCGAGCAUUUAUUUAUAUGUGUGUUCUUGUUUGAGAAAAUCGCAUGACAAAUUUGCAUGACACGAAGUUU